rnacentral:ribozyme from 1 species
UACCAAGCAACUCCUAUCCAUACCUCCUCGUGGUACUGGCCGGGAUACGAGUAACCUUGGGGUAAGCAACCCCGGUGAGAACUCUGGUCGUAUGCUGACAGGGAAGA